UUGCCAGGGCUAGGGUCUCAAGCUGCGAGCAGUGCCGAUCACGGAGGUGAAUUUCCGGCCUUUUGGCCAGCUCCUGGGAAAGAUCGGCGACGGAUGCGAGUAUGGAUCGGGAGACGCGCAGCUCAAUCUCGCGAAUGGGAUUCCCAGAUUCUACCUCAUGGAGCUCAAGAAAACGGGGCUGCGAUUCAAAAGGAUAACGCAUCACGCCAGGGUCACGCAGUGUCUGGGAUCAGUGGGAGCUCAUCCUUGGUACAUGGCGGUCUCUCCUCCCAGCAUUGUGGAUCCUUCAUCGCAACACGAGGGCGCUGUUCGAUCCAACGCUGGUGGCCACUCCUAUUUACCUCCCUCUCAUGCAAGCGUCCAGGUUUUCAAGAUAGAUGGUCCUCGCUUCAUCAAGCUAAACGAAGGAACUUGGCACGCUGGUCCUCUCUUUGGUGAUCGAGAUUCGAUGGUCUUCUACAACUUGGAGCUCAGUGACACCAACGUUGUGGAUCACACUACCCACGUGUUUGAGGACGACGUACUGAUCGAAGAUUGAGGUGAUGGCGAGCUUAAACACUUUUUUGCGUGUCUAGAAAAGCAAAUGGUGGAAAUGAAACAAGUUCUUUGCGAGCUAAGAAUUUCAUGUCCCUUGCCAUCAAGUUGUCGAGGAGCUCCUUUUGUGCCUCGGGACAUUGACUAGUAGUUACAAAAGGAGGCUGAUGAUCCUGGUCGGAAGAAAAUUUACGAACGGGAUGACUCCCACAGACCAUGGCGUCAACUCCCUGGGUGCUGAUUAUGGUCGAAAGCCGCCUGCUUUCUGUCGAACACGAGCGAGCGGAUGUUGAGAGUAUUCAUGUAAUUUGCCUCCUGCCAGUCCAGCUCGCUACUUCCGCCAAGAACUCGGGUUCCCUCAGUCAACAGCAAGAUGGAAAUGUUCCAGAAGUCUUUCUUCUUGAUGUCGGUCACAAACUCGAGCGGUGGAUGAUAUCCUUUGAAAGCGGAAAAGUACGAACUCUAUGCUUGGAAAGUUUCAAAACAGCGUAGUGGUGACCACAAUUUCAGAAAGGAGAUCUUCUAUGAAGUAAAGGAAGCUUUAUUUUUCAUGUUGAUUCAUGUUUUCUUUCCUAUUUAGCGUUCUGUUAGUGAAUUACAAUUGCGUAAGCGAAGUUGCUGCGAGUUCGGAUCUCCUAUGAAAGUUUACGUGAGCAAGUUGCUGAAACUGAAUUUGUAUUUUCUUCUUUACAGCAUGACACAUUCGAGGGCGCUGUUGACGAGCUCCUCGAGGCUUCUGGAAUGCUUGGUAAGUCCCACAAAACCC